AAAUUGAAGAGUUUGAUCAUGGCUCAGAUUGAACGCUGGCGGCAGGCCUAACACAUGCAAGUCGAACGGUAACAGGAAUCAGCUUGCUGAUUUGCUGACGAGUGGCGGACGGGUGAGUAAUGUCUGGGAAACUGCCUGAUGGAGGGGGAUAACUACUGGAAACGGUAGCUAAUACCGCAUAAGCGGACGGGUGAGUAAUGUCUGGGAAACUGCCUGAUGGAGGGGAUAACUACUGGAAACGGUAGCUAAUACCGCAUAAUGUCGCAAGACCAAAGAGGGGGACCUUCGGGCCUCUUGCCAUCGGAUGUGCCCAGAUGGGAUUAGCUAGUAGGUGGGGUAACGGCUCACCUAGGCGACGAUCCCUAGCUGGUCUGAGAGGAUGACCAGCCACACUGGAACUGAGACACGGUCCAGACUCCUACGGGAGGCAGCAGUGGGGAAUAUUGCACAAUGGGCGCAAGCCUGAUGCAGCCAUGCCGCGUGUAUGAAGAAGGCCUUCGGGUUGUAAAGUACUUUCAGCGGGGAGGAAGGGAGUAAAGUUAAUACCUUUACUCAUUGACGUUACCCGCAGAAGAAGCACCGGCUAACUCCGUGCCAGCAGCCGCGGUAAUACGGAGGGUGCAAGCGUUAAUCGGAAUUACUGGGCGUAAAGCGCACGCAGGCGGUUUGUUAAGUCAGAUGUGAAAUCCCCGGGCUCAACCUGGGAACUGCAUCUGAUACUGGCAAGCUUGAGUCUCGUAGAGGGGGGUAGAAUUCCAGGUGUAGCGGUGAAAUGCGUAGAGAUCUGGAGGAAUACCGGUGGCGAAGGCGGCCCCCUGGACGAAGACUGACGCUCAGGUGCGAAAGCGUGGGGAGCAAACAGGAUUAGAUACCCUGGUAGUCCACGCCGUAAACGAUGUCGACUUGGAGGUUGUGCCCUUGAGGCGUGGCUUCCGGAGCUAACGCGUUAAGUCGACCGCCUGGGGAGUACGGCCGCAAGGUUAAAACUCAAAUGAAUUGACGGGGGCCCGCACAAGCGGUGGAGCAUGUGGUUUAAUUCGAUGCAACGCGAAGAACCUUACCUGGUCUUGACAUCCACAGAACCUUGUAGAGAUACGAGGGUGCCUUCGGGAACUGUGAGACAGGUGCUGCAUGGCUGUCGUCAGCUCGUGUUGUGAAAUGUUGGGUUAAGUCCCGCAACGAGCGCAACCCUUAUCCUUUGUUGCCAGCGGUCCGGCCGGGAACUCAAAGGAGACUGCCAGUGAUAAACUGGAGGAAGGUGGGGAUGACGUCAAGUCAUCAUGGCCCUUACGACCAGGGCUACACACGUGCUACAAUGGCGCAUACAAAGAGAAGCGACCUCGCGAGAGCAAGCGGACCUCAUAAAGUGCGUCGUAGUCCGGAUUGGAGUCUGCAACUCGACUCCAUGAAGUCGGAAUCGCUAGUAAUCGUGGAUCAGAAUGCCACGGUGAAUACGUUCCCGGGCCUUGUACACACCGCCCGUCACACCAUGGGAGUGGGUUGCAAAAGAAGUAGGUAGCUUAACCUUCGGGAGGGCGCUUACCACUUUGUGAUUCAUGACUGGGGUGAAGUCGUAACAAGGUAACCGUAGGGGAACCUGCGGUUGGAUCACCUCCUUA
rnacentral:rRNA from 1 species